rnacentral:lncRNA from 1 species
UGGUGGCUAAGGUGUGCGCCAUCUUUCUAAGUCAUAAGUUUAAUUUCUUAUUUCACUACUUCCUGCUUCCUCUCUUUAUGGUAUUUUUUAUGUUUUUCUAGAUCAAUAUGGCCAUGAAAAUAAGGCAUAUGGGUGGUAGUGUGCUUGAACAUGUUGGCAGGACAACAACACACAUCAUCACCGAUCACUUAUUCAGGGAUGCAUUUGAAUAUGGGGUUACUUUCAACCUCCCUGUUAUGACGACCGAUUGGGUUUUCCAAUGUUGGUCUAAAAGAACGAAAUAGGAUUUAAAGCCGAUGAUCUCAGUGUGGUUGACUACACAGUAAAAAUUUUUAGCAAUUGUUAUGUCUGUUUUAUUGGUUUUACAAAUGAUGAUGUCCAUCUUAGAAGACUAUCCGAGAAUGGUGGAACACUUGUUGCUUUAAGUGAUAUAAGAUGCACUCAUAUUGUUGUGAAUGAUUGUGAAAAGAAUAUAACUCAUGGUUUCCUUGAAAUUGAUCUUGCUGCUGACAUUGACCCUCCAAUAUUCAUGGUAACAUCAGCCUGGUUUUGGACGUCCAUAAUAGAAGGCACUGUCGCUAGAGAAAGGGAAUAUCUUUUUAAUGUGAGUUCAAACGUCCUAUUAUUUUUGUUUUUGUUUCACUUAAUUGAACUAUUUUUCAAAAGCACAUUUUUAACAUUUCUUGCUUUAAAAAGGUGAUUUUAUCGCUCAAAUAUUGGCCUGGCUUUGGGCGGCUGUCUACGGCCAAACAAAUGGAAAAAAUUUGUGUUUUUAAGAAUGAAGAUUAUUGACGGAAACUUUAUCAACUUGCAAAACUGAUUAGUUUGUCAUGGAGAAAUCUCCAAAUCGCAACGGUUGACAAUCUUGGUAUGAAACACGUCGCUGCUUAAUUGGUCCCCCUCUUGCUAACUAUUUGAUGCUCUAGCUGCUGGUGGUUGCCUAAGUGAUGUUUGAACAAUAAACCAUAGCAUAAAUAAGCGGUAACCAUUUGUG